rnacentral:lncRNA from 1 species
UCACGCAGUUGGGCAAACUUAAUAGAGUUGUCUUGGGUUUUUUUUUUUCCCCUUCCGAGAUGGAAAUCUUCGCUUUUGUCGCAGUUUCAUUUUUUUUUUCUCCUACUGGCAUUAAUAAAGCUCCUCUAAUAACCCAGGGAAGGCAGCUAAUUAAAAUGCAGCGGGGUGUAGAAGGCGGCCGAUGCAGAGCUGGCGGUAGCAGCAGCCGCCUCUCGCUCUGUCUUUUGCGUCUCCAGUAAUCAGCAGUCCCUCGGUUUCGCCGCGCUAAUUGACGGGAGGAAAGCGGCGGUGCGGGCGGCGCGCACAGCUACCACUAAUGGAAUCGGCACGCCGCUCUCUGCCUGCCUGACUCGUCUCAUUAAAACCUUGAACUGAAGAAGGUCAAAGGAUGGGGGUUGCUUUUAUCGAGUGUACGUUGCUCUUCUCUGGAAGAAGUGGAUGCAGUCCGUUUUGUUCUGACACUUGGAACACCUGCCAGCACGCGGGAUCCGCAGGACCACGGCAGAGGACCCCCGCUGUCGACCAAAAGUCAUGCCUGAGAAGUCGACAAAGGCGAACUCAUAAGGGAGAGAAAUGAAUGACAUUGUGGUUUUAGAAGCAGUGUAUCAACACGACAACAUUUUGAAGUGUAUCGAUGUUUUUCCAAAACGAUGAACUUGAUUCAAUCUAUAUAACAGUAAUAUAACAUGGUGAACUAUUUUAGUAUUAUUCAUUUUUAACUUUGGACAAAUAAAUCUGCUUUCCAAGUAUCUACAGCAGCAUUUUGUAAUUCUUU